rnacentral:tRNA from 1 species
UUAUACUAAAGUUUAGGUUUUGAAUGUUUCUGUUACGUUGAAGAGGGCUUAUUAGUUGAGAGUAGUAUA